GCGGCACCGUGUCCGGUCCUCGAGCGUAUGGGGCUUUGUCACCCGCUCGAUUAGGGCCGGCCGGGCGCCAGCCGACGUCUCCAACCAUUUUCUUCAGGUUGACCUCGGAUCAGGUAGGGAUACCCGCUGAACUUAAGCAUAUCAUAUCCCGGAGGAA
rnacentral:rRNA from 1 species